rnacentral:rRNA from 1 species
CCUACGGGUGGCAGCAGUGGGGAAUAUUGGACAAUGGGGGCAACCCUGAUCCAGCCAUGCCGCGUGUGUGAAGAAGGCCCUCGGGUUGUAAAGCACUUUCAGUGAGGAAGAACGCCUGGUGGUUAAUACCCAUCAGGAAAGACUUCACUCACAGAAGAAGCACCGGCUAACUCCGUGCCAGCAGCCGCGGUAAUACGGAGGGUGCGAGCGUUAAUCGGAAUUACUGGGCGUAAAGCGCGCGUAGGUGGCUUGAUAAGCCGGUUGUGAAAGCCCCGGGCUCAACCUGGGAACGGCAUCCGGAACUGUCAAGCUAGAGUGCAGGAGAGGAAGGUAGAAUUCCCGGUGUAGCGGUGAAAUGCGUAGAGAUCGGGAGGAAUACCAGUGGCGAAGGCGGCCUUCUGGACUGACACUGACACUGAGGUGCGAAAGCGUGGGUAGCAAACAGGAUUAGAUACCCGUGUAGUC